rnacentral:rRNA from 1 species
CCAGGAGGUUGGCUCAGAAGCAGCCAUCCUUGAAAGAGUGCGUAACAGCUCACUGGUCUAGUGGUUCCGCGCCGACAAUGUAGCGGGGCUCAAGCACACCACCGAAGACGCGGCAGCGGCCUUUGUGGCCGCUGGGUAGGAGAGCGUCCCCCGAGGGGCGAAGCGGCGGCGGAAGCCGGCCGUGGACUUCGGGGGAGUGAGAAUGCAGACAUGAGUAGCGAGAGACGGGUGAGGAUCCCGUCCGCUGGAUGACCAAGGGUUCCGGGGCCACGUUCGUCGUCCCCGGGUGAGUCGGGUCCUAAGGCGAGGCCGACAGGCGUAGUCGAAUGGAUGAACGGGUGGAUAUUCCCGUACCGGCAGCGAACCGCAAGAGCCGAACGGAUGAGUACUAACCUCCGGUCGCGUGGCGUCGUUCCCUUCGGGGUUCGGGGCGCGUGGCUGUUGGGAAUGUAGUCCUGGUAGGUUAGCGCACAGGGGUGACACGGAAUGGGAGCCGGCCGCGGAGGUGGUUUUCCGUGGUCAAGCACGCAGCCCGUCCCAUAGGCAAAUCCGUGGGACAUGCAGGGUGAGGUGCGAUGAUGGGCGCCUUUCAUGGCGCGAUAUCCGGUGGUCCAGGCCGUCGAGAAAAGCCUCGGCGCGAGGGGCGUUGCCGCCCGUACCCCAAACCGACACUGGUGGUCAGGUAGAGAAUACCAAGGCGAUCGAGCGAAUCCUGGUCAAGGAACUCGGCAAAUCACUCCCGUGCCUUCGGUAUAAGGGAGACCCCUGAUGGUGAUGGAACUUGCUUCCGGAGCUUUCGGGGGUGGCACAGACCAGGGGGUAGCGACUGUUUACCAAAAACACAGGUGCAUGCGAAGGCGCAAGCCGCUGUAUAUGCACUGACGCCUGCCCGGUGCCGGAAGGUUAAGAGGAUCCGUCAGCCCUCGGGUGAAGCGGUGAAUUCAAGCCCCGGUAAACGGCGGUGGUAACUAUAACCAUCCUAAGGUAGCGAAAUUCCUUGUCGGGUAAGUUCCGACCUGCACGAAUGGCGUAACGACUUCCCCACUGUCUCGACCAGGAGCUCGGCGAAAUUGCAGUACGAGUAAAGAUGCUCGUUAAGCGCAGAAGGACGAAAAGACCCCGGGACCUUUACUAUACCUUGGUAUUGGCGUUAGGCGCGGAUUGUGUAGCAUAGGCGGGAGGCUUCGAAGCAUGGGCGCCAGCCCGUGUGGAGCCGCAAGGUGAAAUACCGCUCUGUUCUCGUUUGACGUCUCACCUCGAACAGUCAUCCUGUUCAGGGACAGUGCCUGGCGGGUAGUUUAACUGGGGCGGUUGCCUCCCAAAGAGUAACGGAGGCGCUCAAAGGUCCGCUCAGCCCGGUUGGCAAUCGGGUUUCGAGUGUAAUCGCACAAGCGGGCUUGACUGCGAGAACGACGGUUCGGGCAGGGACGAAAGUCGGAGAUAGUGAUCCGGUGCCGGCGCACGGGCGCGGCAUCGCUCAACGGAUAAAAGGUACCCCGGGGAUAACAGGCUGAUCAUUCCCAAGAGUCCAUAUCGACGGGAUGGUUUGGCACCUCGAUGUCGGCUCGUCGCAUCCUGGGGCUGGAGCAGGUCCCAAGGGUUCGGCUGUUCGCCGAUUAAAGCGGCACGCGAGCUGGGUUCAGAACGUCGUGAGACAGUUUGGUCUCUAUCCUCUGCGCUCGUUGGAAUCCUGAGGAGGCCUGCCCAUAGUACGAGAGGACCUGGGUGGACGGACCUCUGGUAUGCCGGUUGUCGCGCCAGCGGCAUGGCCGGUUGGCUACGUUCGGGAGGGAUAACCGCUGAAAGCAUCUAAGCGGGAAGCCUGCUCCAAGAUUAGGAUUCCUUGGCACUUCGGUGUCUGUAGCCCGCAUGUUGAACACGUGUUCGAUAGGCCGGAGGUGGAAGUCCCGCGAGGGAUGGAGCCGACCGGUACUAACGGGCGAACGCGGCACACU